rnacentral:tRNA from 1 species
AACUGGGGCUAGCUCAGUUGGUAGAGGCUCUUGCCUCUUAGUGAGAGGUCCUGGGUUCAAAUCCAGGCAAGGUA